rnacentral:rRNA from 1 species
GACGAACGCUGGCGGCGUGCCUAAUACAUGCAAGUUGAGCGCUGAAGGUUGGUACUUGUACCAACUGGAUGAGCAGCGAACGGGUGAGUAACGCGUGGGGAAUCUGCCUUUGAGCGGGGGACAACAUUUGGAAACGAAUGCUAAUACCGCAUAAAAACUUUAAACACAAGUUUUAAGUUUGAAAGAUGCAAUUGCAUCACUCAAAGAUGAUCCCGCGUUGUAUUAGCUAGUUGGUGAGGUAAAGGCUCACCAAGGCGAUGAUACAUAGCCGACCUGAGAGGGGGAUCGGCCACAUUGGGACUGAGACACGGCCCAAACUCCUACGGGAGGCAGCAGUAGGGAAUCUUCGGAAAUGGACGAAAGUCUGACCGAGCAACGCCGCGUGAGUGAAGAAGGUUUUCGGAUCGGAAAACUCUGCUGGUAGAGAAGAAAGUUGGUGAGAGUGGAAAGCUCAUCAAGUGACGGUAACUACACAGAAAGGGACGGCUAACUACGUG